UCGGGGAGUGGGGGCCGGGCGCCCGCAGCUCUGCGCCUCUGCUGCUCGCAGCGCACUUCCUGUCGCGGGGACGCCGAGGGCGCCGGCCGUCUCCUGGGGCGCGGCGUCUGGACGGGCAGGUCGUAGCCGGGAGGAGAGGGCGCGCUUCCGCGGGGAACCGGGGAAGGACACGCCGGUGACAGAGCUGGUGCUGCUGAGAGGCCCGGAACGGGGCGAAGCGGGUCCCCGCGCGGACGCGGGCCGAGGGGCGGGGCGUGCAGACCGUGUGUGCAGGAGCGUACGGGCUCCCUCGGGCUGUUGCCGGUGGCGGGAAGGGGGCUUGGGGCUGCGGUUGAGGGACAGGGAGCCAGGUCUGGAACGCGAGGGCAGGGCCAGGAGGGGCUGGGCAGGAGACAAGAGAAAGCGAGGGCCUCGGGCCUCGCAGACCUGCACCUGGCUGGCCGUGGGGGCGAGAGGAACAGAGGAGGCAGGGGGUGCAGGCGUGGCCUGUGGGACUGGCAGGUGCUGACCCGGCCUCCAAGCGCAGCACCGCCUCCAGGCGCAGUAGGAAGAAACGCUGGUGGGGAAAGACCUUUGGGUGUGAGACGCUUGAGGGACGCAGGUAAACAGUUACUAUAAAAUAGGGUCCGGAGCCGAUAAGAAGGCUCUGGCUUUCGUGAGAUCAUCGAGGAGAGCGGAUCCUGGGAGAGGAGAGCAAAGGACUGACCCUCAGAAACCUAGACAGUUGUGAUGUUGGCUAACAGACAAAAGCCUGGGAAGGAAACCAGAAAAUGAAGAGCAGGUAUUAGGAGAGUCGGACAGAGAAGUGUGCCAGAAGCUGAGGUCGAGAGGGUGACUAAACCAAUGGGAACAAUGACUUGGGAAGAUGAAGUGAAGACAGGUUGAAAUGUGGGUUGGGAAAUCAGGGAGACUUGGGGAGAGCAGGCUGGCUACAGCACCGGGAGCAGGAGCUGAGAAGUAAGGCGGGUGAGUGUGGAGCCUAAGAUCUAUGGGGGCUGAGAUGGCAUUUUAGUUGUCUUUGAUUUCCCAUCGCUGGGCAUAGAGUAGCGUUGGGGCUCAAUGGUGCUGUUCUUUAAGGAAUCAGUAUACAGAGAAGAGAGCUGAGCUUCUUUCUGGCAGCUUGUGCAGAGGAAGAGACCAGAGAGAAUAGCAUUGAGGAGUGGAGGAGUGAGCUGUGAACAAAAACCAGGACUCUUGUCACAGAGACAAAGCAAAGGAUGAAGGGUGUAUCUGCAGUGGCCACUGUGAUCCAGACAGCAAGGAGAAAAUGAGGCAGCGCAGGGCAGGGCAGGGCAGAGCGGAGCUCUGAAUCCAGGUCUUAUUUCCCUAUCUGGUGGAGGGAGAGGAGGCAGAAGUGAAAUAAAUGGCUCAAUGGGGCUCAGCCGACCAGAAAACACCAGCAGGGACAUCCCGGUGUCUGGGACAGAGGCUAGAACUGACAUGCCCCAGAAAGUCCCAACCUGUGUGGGGUUCAGGGAUAAGAGGAAGAAAACCAAAAUGGAGACAUCAUAAUCACUUUCCUGGGAUCAAUGGAAAUAUCUUUGAAAUUGAUCCUUGAGCAUUUUUUAUUUGUAGUGACUUCUGUGAAUGGAUAAUUUUCUUCAUAAUUUCGUGUUGAUUUUUUGUAUCAUAUAGGAAUUCACUGAUUGUUAUUAAGUAAUGAUAUAUUUUACCCUUUCAUUCCUUUGAUAUUUUUGGAAGUCUGAUAAUAAUUUGAUGGUUCCAGAUAUGUAAUCAGAAUGCAAAAAUAUUAAUUAUUUUACUCCUAA